UGGGGAAUAUUGCACAAUGGGCGCAAGUCUGAUGCAGCCAUGCCGCGUGUAUGAAGAAGGCCUUCGGGUUGUAAAGUACUUUCAGCGGGGAGGAAGGGAGUAAAGUUAAUACCUUUGCUCAUUGACGUUACCCGCAGAAGAAGCACCGGCUAACUCCGUGCCAGCAGCCGCGGUAAUACGGAGGGUGCAAGCGUUAAUCGGAAUUACUGGGCGUAAAGCGCACGCAGGCGGUCUGUCAAGUCGGAUGUGAAAUCCCCGGGCUCAACCUGGGAACUGCAUUCGAAACUGGCAGGCUAGAGUAUUGUAGAGGGGGGUAGAAUUCCAGGUGUAGCGGUGAAAUGCGUAGAGAUCUGGAGGAAUACCGGUGGCGAAGGCGGCCCCCUGGACGAAGACUGACGCUCAGGUGCGAAAGCGUGGGGAGCAAACAGG
rnacentral:rRNA from 1 species